rnacentral:misc_RNA from 1 species
AACUGAUACUACCUGCGGGAACCUGCGGAAGGAUCAUUACCGAGUUUUCGAGCUUCGGCUCGACUCUCCCACCCUUUGUGAACGUACCUCUGUUGCUUUGGCGGCUCCGGCCGCCAAAGGACCUUCAAACUCCAGUCAGUAAACGCAGACGUCUGAUAAACAAGUUAAUAAACUAAAACUUUUAACAACGGAUCUCU